GGUCCCCUACGGGGGGCAGCAGUGAGGAAUAUUGGUCAAUGGUCGGGAGACUGAACCAGCCAAGCCGCGUGAGGGAGGAAGGUACAGAGUAUCGUAAACCUCUUUUGUCAGGGAACAAAGACUGGGACGCGUCCCCGGAUGAGUGUACCUGAAGAAAAAGCAUCGGCUAACUCCGUGCCAGCAGCCGCGGUAGUACGGAGGAUGCGAGCGUUAUCCGGAUUUAUUGGGUUUAAAGGGUGCGCAGGCGGUCUGUUAAGUCAGCGGUCAAAGCCCGGGGCUCAACCCCGGCCCGCCGUUGAAACUGG
rnacentral:rRNA from 1 species